rnacentral:rRNA from 1 species
UCAGGAUGAACGCUGGCGGCGUGCUUAACACAUGCAAGUCGAACGGACUUAGAAUGAAGCUGCGAUUCUAAAGUAGUGGCGGACGGGUGAGUAACGCGUGGGUAACCUGCCGUUAUACCGGGGGAUAACACUUAGAAAUAGGUGCUAAUACCGCAUAAGCGCACAGUUUCGCAUGAAACAGUGUGAAAAACUCCGGUGGUAUAAGAUGGACCCGCGUCUGAUUAGCUAGUUGGUGAGGUAACGGCCCACCAAGGCGACGAUCAGUAGCCGGCCUGAGAGGGUGAACGGCCACAUUGGGACUGAGACACGGCCCAAACUCCUACGGGAGGCAGCAGUGGGGAAUAUUGGACAAUGGGGGAAACCCUGAUCCAAGCGACGCCGCGUGAGUGAAGAAGUAUUUCGGUAUGUAAAGCUCUAUCAGCAGGGAAGAUAAUGACGGUACCUGACUAAGAAGCCCCGGCUAACUACGUGCCAGCCGCCGC